CAAGCCACGAGGAGCAAGCCAGAAAGAGCACCAGUUCCUGCCUCCAGUCUCCUGCUCUGUUUGACUUCCCUUUGUGAUUAACCUGGGAGGAGACAUAGAGAUAUGGUCACCGGGUAGCUCAGGACAAUUUGUUUUCAUUGACAUCUAGAGGCCCCUCACAGCUUGUGGAUUUUCACACCUGUUUCAAAUUGAGUGUGGAGAAUUCCCAGAACUUGCAGAGUAAAACAAGAAGUAAAAGAUGAAGAUGAUCUUUUAAAACCUGAACAAUUAACUACAACCAGACAGCUUUUGUUUAAAUCCCUUGCUGGAACCAUCAGCUUAUAAAGACAGGAGAAAGGGGCUGCUACACAAAUCCCUCAAGUCAGAUCAUCUCUGGCUCCCACCGAGUACCUCAGGAGUAGAACUAACUCAUGGAUAGCUGUAUCACCAAGGCCCACCCCAGUGUGGGUGACAGCUCACAAAGCUGGGAACCUGGAGCCCACGGCACAGCCUGCAGGCAGCUUCGGCAGGUUGGAGAGCGUCCUUUCCAAGUGACUCAAUUGGUCUAAACCCCUUCCCACCAGCUCAACUGGGCCCUGCUUCUUCCAAGUAGCUGAUCCAGUCUGAGAGUCCUCUUUGCAGCUUGGCUUGUGUGAUGAUUUGAAAGAAAAUGGACCCCAGAGGCGGUGGCACUAUUAGGAAGUGUGGCCUUGUUGGAGAAAGUGAGUC